AUUGAACGCUGGCGGCAGGCCUAACACAUGCAAGUCGAACGAGUGGCGGACGGGUGAGUAAUGUCUGGGAACCUGCCUGAGGGAGGGGGAUAACCAGUGGAAACGGUAGCUAAUACCGCAUACCAUCAGAUGUGCCCAGGUGGGAUUAGCUAGUUGGUGGGGUAACGGCUCACCAAGGCGACGACCCCUAGCUGGUCUGAGAGGAUGACCAGCCACACUGGAACGUAGACACGGUCCAGACUCCUACGGGAGGCAGCAGUAGGGAAUAUUGCACAAUGGGCGCAAGCCUGAUGCAGCCAUGCCGCGUGUAUGAAGAAGGCCUUCGGGUUGUAAAGUACUUUCAGCGGGGAGGCGUUACCCGGAGAAGAAGCACCGGCUAACUCCGUGCCAGCAGCCGCGGUAAUUC
rnacentral:rRNA from 1 species